rnacentral:rRNA from 1 species
GCAGGCCUAACACAUGCAAGUCGAACGGUAACAGGAAGCAGCUUGCUGCUUUGCUGACGAGUGGCGGACGGGUGAGUAAUGUCUGGGAAACUGCCUGAUGGAGGGGGGAUAACUACUGGAAACGGUAGCUAAUACCGCAUAACGUCGCAAGACCAAAGAGGGGGACCUUCGGGCCUCUUGCCAUCGGAUGUGCCCAGAUGGGAUUAGCUAGUAGGUGGGGUAACGGCUCACCUAGGCGACGAUCCCUAGCUGGUCUGAGAGGAUGACCAGCCACACUGGAACUGAGACACGGUCCAGACUCCUACGGGAGGCAGCAGUGGGGAAUAUUGCACAAUGGGCGCAAGCCUGAUGCAGCCAUGCCGCGUGUAUGAAGAAGGCCUUCGGGUUGUAAAGUACUUUCAGCGGGGAGGAAGGCGAUAAGGUUAAUAACCUUGUCGAUUGACGUUACCCGCAGAAGAAGCACCGGCUAACUCCGUGCCAGCAGCCGCGGUAAUACGGAGGGUGCAAGCGUUAAUCGGAAUUACUGGGCGUAAAGCGCACGCAGGCGGUCUGUCAAGUCGGAUGUGAAAUCCCCGGGCUCAACCUGGGAACUGCAUUCGAAACUGGCAGGCUAGAGUCUUGUAGAGGGGGGUAGAAUUCCAGGUGUAGCGGUGAAAUGCGUAGAGAUCUGGAGGAAUAMAYGSUGGSSGAAAAAGGGU